CCAAUAGCGUAUAUUAAAGUUGUUGCAGUUAAAAAGCUCGUAGUUGAAUUUCGGGGUUAGUAGGUUGGUCAUGCCUCUGGUAUGUACUGGUCUCACUGAUUCCUCCUUCCUGAUGAGCCGUAAUGCCAUUAAUUUGGUGUUGCGGGGAAUUUGGACUGUUACUUUGAAAAAAUUUGAGUGUUUAAAGCAAGCUAACGCUUGAAUACAUUAGCCUGGAAUAAUGAAAUAGGACGUUCGAUCCUAUUUUGUUGGUUUCUAGGAUUGACGUAAUGAUUAAUAGGGAUAGUUGGGGGCAUUAGUAUUCAAUUGUCAGAGGUGAAAUUCUUGGAUUUAUUGAAGACUAACUACUGCGAAAGCAUUUGCCAAGGAUGUUUUCAUUAAUCAAGAACGAAAGUUAGGGGAUCGAAGACGAUCAGAUACCGUCGUAGUCUUAACCAUAAACUAUGCCGACUAGGGAUCGGAUGAUGUUAAUUUUUUAAUGACUCAUUCGGCGCCUUACG
rnacentral:rRNA from 1 species